rnacentral:rRNA from 1 species
GACGAACGCUGGCGGCGUGCUUAACACAUGCAAGUCGAACGGAAAGGCCCUGCUUUUGUGGGGUGCUCGAGUGGCGAACGGGUGAGUAACACGGGAGUAACCUGCCCUUGACUUUGGGAUAACUUCAGGAAACUGGGGCUAAUACCGGAUAGGAGCUCCUGCUGCAUGGUGGGGGUUGGAAAGUUUCGGCGGUUGGGGAUGGACUCGCGGCUUAUCAGCUUGUUGGUGGGGUAGUGGCUUACCAAGGCUUUGACGGGUAGCCGGCCUGAGAGGGUGACCGGCCACAUUGGGACUGAGAUACGGCCCAGACUCAUACGGGAGGCAGCAGUGGGGAAUAUUGCACAAUGGGCGGAAGCCUGAUGCAGCAACGCCGCGUGCGGGAUGACGGCAUUCGGGUUGUAAACCGCUUUCGCCUAUGACGAAGCGUGAGUGACGGUAAUGGGUAAAGAAGCACCGGCUAACUACGUG